GUGGAAACGCUGGAGCUGGCAGGUCGGUGAGGACGGAACACGCUUACAGCUCAUUCAAGUGCCACUGGUCUUGCAGUAUUUCAUCUUUUCCAAACAACCGAGUAAAUUUACAGCUCAUUCAAGUGCCACUGGUCUGUUUUUGGAGAAUUUCAUCUUUAAGGUGCUGUGAGAAAGAGCCAUGUCUCCCGUGCCGCCACUGAUGAUGACAUUACAAAACACGUAAUACGGUGGUUCAACUUGGCAGCAGAUAGGGGAAACUCAAGGAGCCGUCCCACUGUCAGCAUCCAACAGUAGCGUUUCGGUGUUUCACAGUUAACUUCUGUGUUUUGAAGUGUUCGUUUAACAGUUAAGUAGUAACAGUUGAGAUAAAGUUUACUACUUUAAAUAGUUUUGUUUCUAUUCAUCUUCAAAAAACCCAGUUUCCACACAAAAAAAUAAGCAGUGCAACAUUAAUAAGAAUAAAUGUUUCUUGAGCUACAUUAAAAAAGUGUUCUUUUUCAUUAAAUAAAAAAUGUUCUUUGGACAAUUUAUGGUUGCAUUUCAUUUUCUGUAAUACCUAUUAAUUGUAUACAUAAAUAAUUGUUACUGGCUAAAAUGGCUGAAUUUUGAUUUACAAGUUUUGAAUGAUUUCAUCAUGUUUUAUUAAUAAAGGCAGGCAUAUUAAAUAUUAUAGAGCAAUCCAGUCUAUCCAAUGUCGGUCCAUUAGAUUUGAAAUAUUUCUUUAGCUAGUUUUGGCCAGAAUACUAGUUUUAAAUGAGGGAUCUGAAAGGUAUCCAGACAGAAUGACCAGAUCGGAUCCGUGGCGGAUCAGCUGCUUUAUAAACGGGUCCUGAUCGGAUCCGUGGCGGAUCAGCUGCUUUAUCAACGGGUCCUGAUCGGAUCCGUGGCGGAUCAGCUGCUUUAUAAACGGGUCCUGAUCGGAUCCGUGGCGGAUCAGCUGCUUUAUCAGCGGAUACAGGGCGGGUCUGCCCCAGAUCUGGUCCGGAUCCGCAAUCCUUAUUUGUUCCGGAUCCGCUGCGCUGUGCAAGUGGACUCCGUUCCGGACCCGUUUUGCGCAUCCGUUCUGGAGCU